GCCUAAGGCACCUCCCCAGAGUCCUCCAAUGCCACCUUCUCCACUUCAGCUGCCACCCAGACCUCCGUCAUCUUCCUCCAGCCUGGGAUCUCCAGAGGUAACUGAAAACUCAUCUUCACAGAGCCGACCCACAUCACCACCCCAGGCUCCACCAGUGGCUCUUUCUUCACCUCAGCCACCACCUGACCUUCAACACGUGCUAGUGCCUCUAGCCUAAGUUCACCUGGGAGCCCACCCGCAUCACCUCUCCAGAUCCCACCUCUGGAAGCUUCUUCACUGUAGCCAGCACCCGAACCUCAACUGCACU